CACGUAGGGGGCGAGCGUUGUCCGGAUUUAUUGGGCGUAAAGAGCUCGUAGGUGGUUCGGUAAGUCGGAUGUGAAAUCUCCAGGCUCAACCUGGAGGGGUCAUUCGAUACUGCCGUGACUAGAGUUCGGUAGGGGAGUGUGGAAUUCCUGGUGGAGCGGUGAAAUGCGCAGAUAUCAGGAGGAACACCCGUAGCGAAGGCGGCACUCUGGGCCGAUACUGACACUGAGGAGCGAAAGCGUGGGGAGCGAACAGG
rnacentral:rRNA from 1 species